AGCUUUCUUGUGAGUAAACUGUGAUAGGUGUACAACUACUUGGAUAAAGUGGUGAACUAUAAAGAGUAUGCCAUAUUUUAAUUGAAGAAAUGGUUGAAGUACUUGAAUAUUAAGUGUGAUGUUUGGACCUCUAUACACGUGCAAUUUGUGUUCUGUUUUCGCUGACCUUUGUUUUUUCAAUUGCUUGUGCCUGACUUAGUUCUCUCUUAAAGCUCUUGAAGCCGAUGACGACUGUUCAUCUUUUAUGCUAUUUGUGAUGCAGCCUUGAGUUACCGACUGCAGAGUUGAAACUGCUUGUAAGUCUGUCAUUGUUGAAUAUGUAAUUGCUUUCUGAAAGGGCAUGGAUUGAUUUUUUGUUGUUGCUUUUUUUUUUUUUGGGGGGGCUACUCUUCUGUUUCCCAUCUUGGCUUUUUAUUUCAUUAAGAACAUCCUGAAGACAUUGGUUUCAGCUGCUGAUACUUACUGCUCAGUUGUGAUUUUGCUAUUCAAUACUAUGUCCCUCUUAGUGUAUCCUCCACGAAGAAGAUGUGACGUGUGUGAUUUUCCAAAACGUGGUGACAGGAGUUGGAAUUCAGCUGGCUGUCUUUCCAACAUGAGUAUAUGUCACACUUGCU
rnacentral:lncRNA from 1 species